rnacentral:rRNA from 1 species
GAUGAACGCUGGCGGCGUGCCUAAUACAUGCAAGUCGAGCGAACGGACGAGAAGCUUGCUUCUCUGAUGUUAGCGGCGGACGGGUGAGUAACACGUGGAUAACCUACCUAUAAGACUGGGAUAACUUCGGGAAACCGGAGCUAAUACCGGAUAAUAUUUUGAACCGCAUGGUUCAAAAGUGAAAGACGGUCUUGCUGUCACUUAUAGAUGGAUCCGCGCUGCAUUAGCUAGUUGGUAAGGUAACGGAUUACCAAGGCAACGAUGCAUAGCCGACCUGAGAGGGGGACCGGCCCCCGGGAAAUGAGGACCGGGACCAAGACCCGCAGGGAGGCACGGGCGAGAAACCUACGGGAAGGGGCAGAAACGUAUGGGGGGCAAGCGGGGGGAGUGAGAAAGGGCUACGGAGCGUAAAACAUGUUUUUUGGGGAAGAACAUAUGGUUUAGUAACGGGAAAAAACUUGAGGGUACCUAAGAAGAAACCCCGGCCAACCCACGG